ACCUCGAUGUUGGAUCAGGGUAUCCCAGUGGUGCAGCCGCUACUAAAGGUUCGUUUGUUCAACGAUUAAAACCCUACGUGAUCUGAGUUCAGACCGGAGCAAUCCAGGUCGGUUUCUAUCUAUAAAGAGCUUUUUCUAGUACGAAAGGACCGUAAAAGCACGGCCUAUGCCCAAGGUAAGCCAUAUUCACUAAUUUAUGAUUUAAACUCAAUAAACAACUGACCUCCAACUUUAUUCUAGACAAGAAU
rnacentral:rRNA from 1 species